CACGAAGUGAGUGGCGGACGGGUGAGUAACACGUGGGUAACCUGCCCAGAAGCAGGGGAUAACACCUGGAAACAGAUGCUAAUACCGUAUAACAGAGAAAACCGCCUGGUUUUCUUUUAAAAGAUGGCUCUGCUAUCACUUCUGGAUGGACCCGCGGCGCAUUAGCUAGUUGGUGAGGUAACGGCUCACCAAGGCGAUGAUGCGUAGCCGACCUGAGAGGGUAAUCGGCCACAUUGGGACUGAGACACGGCCCAGACUCCUACGGGAGGCAGCAGUAGGGAAUCUUCCACAAUGG
rnacentral:rRNA from 1 species